CGUGUAGGCGGUGUCGGUAAGUUGGGCGUGAAAUCCCCGAGCUUAACUCGGGUGGGCCGUUCAAGACUGCCGUGCUAGGGUGCGGGAGAGGGAAGUGGAAUUUCCGGUGUAGCGGUGAAAUGCGUAGAUAUCGGGAGGAACACCUGCGGCGAAGGCGGCUUCCUGGACCGUAACCGACGCUGAGGCGCGAAAGCUAGGGGAGCGAAACAGGAUUAGAUACCCUGGUAGUCCUAGCCCUAAACGAUGAGCACUGGGUGUGGCCCCUCACGAGGCCGUGUCCGAAGCUAACGCAUUAAGUGCUCCGCCUGGGGAGUACGGUCGCAAGGCUGAA
rnacentral:rRNA from 1 species